CAGCUCAGCCCCUGGAGUGGCCACAGCACAUGGCCUGGGGGUAGUGGCUCGGGCCCAGGGGCGGCCCCCGGAGCAAGGCGGGGGCUCCCUUCAGAAAGCCUGCCGGACACUGGCCCUGCACCGGGCGCUGCUGCUCUGGAGGACACGGCUCUCCCAGCACCAGAGGGCUGACUCCUUCCUCCGGGGCACGCGGCAGCAGCAGAUUCGGGGUAUCCUGAGGGCGUGGCACUUGAAGGCAUGCGGUCCGAGCACCCCGUCAGACAGUGCCAGGACCACCUUGGCCCCGGAGCCGCUGCUGGGCUGCAGCCCGCCCCGAAGCUCACUAGAGAAGGCUUCCAGGGCCCCCGCCUUCUUGGAUACCCUCCGGCUGAGCUUUCUGUGGGCAUCUGGGCAGAGGCUGAAGGCACGGUGCCUUCUGCUCUGGCAGGUGCGGGCCCAGCGGUCCCAGGGUGCAGCAAGGUGGCACCGAUGCACUCUUCAGAGGCGGUAGGGACCCCUCCCCAUGCUGGGUGAGCCAUGACGCCCACCGCUCCGUGGACAUCCGGUUUCCCAGCCCCCUUCCCAUUAUUCCUUGACCUUCACAGCAGCAUCCCGUUGGGGUCUGCAGCCCAGAGGGCUCCCAUCUCACGCUCCAACCCGUUGGUACCCAGACUCAGGUUCUCUGGGCUUCUCCUGCCCUCCUAGCCUGCCCUGCUGACAGGGCGGGGGCUUGAGGCAGUCUACAGGAUAAUCGUUUCUCCCAGAGACUUCGCAGCUGUGGCUCAUUCAUUUAUUCAUCGGCAGCACAAUACUUAAGCGUCGGUCUGCCUGGGUUCUAAUCCCAGCCUUGCCCCUCACUAGCGAUGUGAUCUUGGGCAAGUUGCUUAACCUCUCUGUGUCUCCAUCUCUCCAUUUGUAUGGGGAUAAUAACAGUAGUCACUCCAUUGGGCAUCAGCAAGGUAGGGGCACAUAAUCCCCUUGCUUAGUACCUGGCACAUAAUAAGCACUGAGUUCAUAGCAAUGUUUAUCACUAGUGCCUGAGCUCAGGCCUUGGCACUGGGGUCUGAGAUCCCAUCUCAUCCCUAACCUGUCACUGUGAGCAUUCCAGCCCCCAGCAAGCCACGCUCCCCCUGCUGGAAACAGGGAGAAGAGCCCCCUCAGGCUGCUGAGGGCGGGGAUGGCUGGGAG
rnacentral:lncRNA from 1 species